CGCAGCCGGUAAGUUCGAACCUACAUGAAACGCAAUGGAUUUCAGAGUGCAUCGCCUUAACCACUCGGCCACGACUGU